rnacentral:rRNA from 1 species
UACAGAGGUGGCAAGCGUUGUUCGGAAUUACUGGGCGUAAAGGGCGCGUAGGCGGUUCGUUAAGUCCUGUGUGAAAUCCCCCGGCUCAACUGGGGAACUGCACAGGAAACUAGCGGGCUUGAGUUCGGGAGAGGGAAGCGGAAUUCCGGAUGUAGCGGUGAAAUGCGUAGAUAUCCGGAGGAACACCGGUGGCGAAGGCGGCUUCCUGGACCGACACUGACGCUGAGGCGCGAAAGCUAGGGGAGCAAACGGG